CAGUAGCCGCGGUAAUACAGAGGGUGCAAGCGUUAAUCGGAAUUACUGGGCGUAAAGCGCGCGUAGGUGGUUUGUUAAGUUGGAUGUGAAAUCCCCGGGCUCAAACUGGGAACUGCAUCCAAAACUGGCAAGCUAGAGUAUGGUAGAGGGUGGUGGAAUUUCCUGUGUAGCGGUGAAAUGCGUAGAUAUAGGAAGGAACACCAGUGGCGAAGGCGACCACCUGGACUGAUACUGACACUGAGGUGCGAAAGCGUGGGGAGCAAACAGGAUUAGAUACCCCAGUAGUCCCUGUCUCUUAUAC
rnacentral:rRNA from 1 species